rnacentral:lncRNA from 1 species
GGAGAGGAGAGGAGAGCUGGCUGUCUUGCGUGUCAUUCAUGAGGACUAGGCAGGAAAGAGAGGGAGAUUAGGAGUGUCUGGGUGGGUGGGAUUGAAGAUGAAGAGGAGAUAGAUAGAGAGAUAGACUGAGGGAGAGGGGGUUUGUUUGUUUUGUAUUUGGGUCAUCAUCACUCUUGAAGUAAGGAUGGAUGGAGGAACCAAGUCCACAGAGACCUGAAUUCAUUACUCGAUUCACAUCUACAGAUUGUCUCUCUCUCUCUUUCGCUCUUUCUCCCUCUUUUGUUGAGUAAACCUGGAUCCAGAGAGUGGCAUGUUGCUCUGGAUGGGAAGAGAGACAGUGGGGCGAGAGUAAGAGGAGGAUGGCGUACACACAGUUGGAACCCAUCAAUGAGGGUCUUCUGUCCAGACUGUCUGACUUCCUGUUGUGUCGCUGGUCCUGCCGCUCCUGUUGGCAGUGGUGCUGGGAGUGCAGCUGCUGUCAGCCCACUGAUGAGGAGGUGGAGAUUCUGGGGCCUUUUCCAGCUCAAACUCCAUCAUGGCUGUGAGUACACACCCGUACAACCCUCAUACAACCCACAAACAAUGCUCACACUUCCCAAAUAACCCAGAACAAUUCAUCAUUCAUCU